AGAGGGUGCAAGCGUUAAUCGGGAAUUACUGGGGCGUAAAGGGUGCGUAGGCGGAUACGUAAGUCAGUUGUGAAAGCCCAGGGGCUUAACCUUGGGAACUGCAAUUGAAACUGUGUAUCUAGAGUCGAGUAGAGGGGAGUGGAAUUUCCGGUGUAGCGGUGAAAUGCGUAGAUAUCGGAAGGAACAUCAGUGGCGAAGGCGACUCCCUGGACUCAGACUGACGCUGAGGCACGAAAGCGUGGGGAGCGAACAGGAUUAGAUACCCUGGUAGUCCACGCUGUAAACGAUGAGUACUAGCUGUUAGAGUCCAUGAGACUUCAGUAGCGGAGCUAACGCAUUAAGUACUCCGCCUGGGGACUACGGCCGCAAGGCUA
rnacentral:rRNA from 1 species